CUCUCAUGUGUCUACAGCGGUAAGUGAUGAUAAUGUUUGUUUUGCAUGGAUGCUGAAUUUUUGUAGUGGACUUCCCUAGAAAAGAGGGUGUGGUAGGGGGUUUUUAUGCCAAAGUCUGUACAUUUGAGAUAUACCUGCCUUUUUGGCUAAUACUUGAAGGGACUGCCUUUUUAUGUCUUCUUCUCACCUAAGUUGCUCGGACUUUUCACUUUCAGUGUCUCAUCCGUGUCGACACGACGUAGG
rnacentral:misc_RNA from 1 species